rnacentral:lncRNA from 1 species
CUUUUCCCAUUAGCUGGAUAUCUAUCUUCAUUAACCUUGCUGUUAUCCUUCGGGGAAGAAUUAAUAUAAGUGCCAGAAUUUUGUCCAGAAUCCUUGGGCUUUCCAAAAGUUUCACCAUGUUUCCUGUGGUGAAAAUCAGAAGGUACAGCAUUUUUACCUCCACUAUUUUUAGUAUUUGUUGAUAACUUCUUUUCCUUCAUUACACCAUCCUCAUUUUGGGUGUCCCUAGUAGGGUUUUCUUUUUGAAUGAUAUAACCUUCAUGCACAUUCUUCUCAGCAAACUUACUACCAUGUCCCGAGCUCUCAGUAUGUUUCAAAGGCCUUUCAGCCGUAUUAACAGCUUUACCCCGAGCACCUUGAUCAGAUGAUCUACGACCUGAUUGAUGAAAAUCUGUACUAGAUUUUUGGGGAAAC